ACAGCAGCAGCCGCGGUAAUACGGAGGGUGCAAGCGUUAAUCGGAAUUACUGGGCGUAAAGCGCACGUAGGCGGAUCGAUCAGUCAGGGGUGAAAUCCCAGAGCUCAACUCUGGAACUGCCUUUGAUACUGUCGAUCUGGAGUAUGGAAGAGGUGAGUGGAAUUCCGAGUGUAGAGGUGAAAUUCGUAGAUAUUCGGAGGAACACCAGUGGCGAAGGCGGCUCACUGGUCCAUUACUGACGCUGAGGUGCGAAAGCGUGGGGGGCAAACAGGAUUAGAUACCCCCGUAGUCCCUGUCUCUUAUAC
rnacentral:rRNA from 1 species